GCCAAAUUUCCUUUGCCAUGCCGAAUGACAGGGCAACGGAACUGGCAGUGUUGUUGCUAUAAAACCCCAACUAGAGUUACAGACGGAAGGGAGUUGGUAUGUCCUGUCACUGAUGUCAGGUGACUCACACAGACGGGUUUGGGACUCUAGAAGCUGGCUGUCGGAACAUCCUUUGAAGUGGUGGUUUUAAACACUUUUAUGAACUGCAGGCUGAAUGUGAACAUUUACCUGCUGCCAUGUAAAACCCCACUGUGUUCCUGCGGCAUCAUCAGGCUUGGAAAAGAGCAAGUCCAAGGGUUCUCCCAAGGUCUGGAUCUAUCUGCAUGAAUGGCCCUCACCUGCGGUGCUCCUGACGCAUCUUGGAGGCCAAAGGAACUUUCUUCCUGGCUCUUGGCAGCAUUGACUGGGGAUCUUCAAAUGGCCAACCAGUUCACAGCCAUUGUGAACAUUUAUGUAAUAACACUUCAUUUCACCUGUUCCUCACAAUGGUCCCUGCUUUACAAAUAGAGAAGUGAAGCUUCUGGAGGUCAGAUGAUUUGCCCAAGGUUAUGGAAGUAGUAAGGAGUGGAAACCAAGCUUUUUAAUUUCAAAUCCAAUGCUCUUAUCACAAUACCUCACUAUUAAUCCCUAAUCUGCCCAAAUAUUGCAUUAAAAGGAAAUGAUUUAGGGAAGAGAUUUGAGGGUUGUCUCCUUUGAAAGUAUACUUUUAGAAUUUUCCAGCCAUUCUAUUCAAGGCAUCAACCCCAAUUCCCCUUCUGUACAUCCUCAAUGAGUGACAGCUUACCUCCUCCAGCCCAUACAGCCCUCCCCUCCCCACAUAGGGCCAGUGUCUUAGCAUCUUCCUCCCCGCCAACCACCGACUCUGGGUGGUGGGUGCCCAGUGUUGAGUCAGGGAACUUGGGAAGCUGCAGGGUUAACAGGCCCAUCAUCCCCUGCUGUUAAUUUCACUAGAAGCACUGUUAGGGGAGAGCAAUCUUACGGUGCCUAUCUACCUACUAUGCAGCAGGAAGUACAUUUUGAAGAUUAGUAUUUUUUAUCUUUCAAAACAACGCAAAGAAAUUUUUGCUUGUCGCAGGUGUUUUCAGAGACAGCCCUGAAUCUUCUAGAGAUGUCUCCUCAGCAGGCUGUGGGUUUCAUUGCUGAAAUACAACCCUCAUUAUCUGAAAAGCUCAUUGGGUAUCUACCAUAUGUCCCAGGACAAUGUGCCACGCUGGUGUUUUUCUCAUGUAUUAUUAGAUAACUUUCCUCAUCUUUACAUUGCUGUUAGGUUACACCCUCCUUGAAGCUCUUGUAGUAAAUAAUAGCACGUACCUACUAUGUGCCAAGAGUGGGGCUCAGACAAGUGUCAGGCAAGCGAGGGGCCUAGUGUACAAAAUUUAAGGAGGCAUUCAGCUGCUGACCCUGAGACUGAGUGCCUGGUCCUUUGUGAGUGCCGC
rnacentral:lncRNA from 1 species